UCUUCAUGAACUGCUACCCAAUGAAGAGAUCCAUUAAGGUAAAUCCCAGGAAUAUCUCCAUUUAAAAUUCUGUAAGGGACACCAAAGGUACUCAGACAUGUAGCUUGUCCAUCAUUAUUCAGGGAGUAAACAUCAACUAGAGAAUCACAGUCAUCAUAAAUAGACAAACUGCGGCGAACAUUUACAAGUUUGUAUUCACCAACAACAGAAUCAUAAGCAAGGCCAAAAGCAGAACAAUCAUGAACAUAUAAGGAUUUUCCUACAUUAAAAAACUUGCACUCUUUAGUACAAGGAUUCAGUAGGCAUAACUUAGACGGUGGCAUACACAAGCAAAUAAACCCAUUACAAGUAGCAAAAACUUCGGUUUCAGUACCAAUUUCUUUAAAUGGAUUUAUGAUAUGUUCUGCAUCAACUUCCUCAUCAUCAAAAGAAGAAAAGGAAGAAGAAUAAAACUGUGUCCUUCGUUUAAUACUAUAAAUAGUUGAUAAGAAAUUGGGACAAUUUAUUUCCAUUGAUCGAUUCAAGUGGGUUUGAAUAAAAUUAGAAAAAGGAUCUGUCAUCAAAUCGCACCAAGGUUUGUAUACCAACCUGAAUUGUUCUCUGAGUGAUUUUGCUGGAAGCCUCGUGAGAAUCUCGAAGAUUAUAUCAUCAUGAAUAAUAGCAUCUGUUGUUGACAUUAUUGUUUUUUGAAUUGCAAGAUUCUCUUCUUCGAAUCGUGAACCAGUAUGUGUUGUUGACAUUUUUUUCUAAAUGUAUUUAGGGUUUCUGAGAAUUUUUAGAUCGAGAGAGCUAUCCGCCGCCACUCUUUCUCUCUAGCAGUAUCGGGUUUUAUAGAUCAAAAGAAUUGGGCCGUAGGACCAAAUUCCAAUUCUCUUCUUUCAAGUUUCAACAACUCAUAAACGUCCGUGAGCCCGUAACCAGAUCUACAGACAGAAACUUUGGCUAUGAACUCUAUAACGUACAGGAGCGAAAUAUUCUCAGCAAUAUUAUCUAUGCAAAUUUUGAGGACCAUCGUUAAUUCAUUAUACUAAAUCUUUGAGAACCAUCGUUAAUUCAUUAUACUAAAUCUUUGAUAUUUGUGUAGAUUUUGUAGAAGCAACUUAUGUCGGUAACACAUAGGGAAUAUUUGUUUUGUUUAGUUAGAUAGUUAAUAUCACCUAAAAUUUAAGUGGGGUGUGCGUGCGUCAAGAGCAGGAACAGUCAGACCAGUAAAGUUUUUGGCACUCAAAUGUCGAAAUUUGCGUUACCCCCAUUUGAAAAAAUAUAGCACUUACCCCUCAAUUGUAUGGAAAAAAUAGACGAUGUUACAAAAAUUAAUUUUUAAAUUUUCGUAAAAUAAAAUAUUUUGAUAAUACCAAAACUACUCUUUUUUAAACAUGUAAAUAAUAAACAUAAUUAGUAAAAUCCCACCACUGAAACAUAAAUAAUUAACAAUACCCCAAAUCGAUUUGCAAAAGAAUUUGAAGGAGAAGAUAAAUUUUUAGGAAAAAAGAUGAAAUUUGUUUAAGAAAUUUGUUAAAUUUAAAGAACAUGAAAUUUAUUUGAGAAAAAUUAGGUUUAUUUAUAAACUUUGGGGGAUUUUGGAUUUUUGGAAAAAACAACAAAGUUGACCGUUAGAUUAAGUACUAAAUAGAUGGAUAAGAUUAUGACACAUGUCAUUAUUACUAGAAUAAAAAAGGUACUUUUGGUAUUAUCGAAAUAUUUUAUUUAAAAAAAUUUUAAAAAUUGAUUUUUGUAACACCGUUAAAUUUUUCCAUCCAGUUGGGGGUAACUGCUAUAUUUUUUCAUAUAGGGGUAACUCAAAUUUCGACUAUCAAAUGGGAGGUAAGUGCCUAAAGAGUUAAUUGUUUUUUCUGUCUAAGAAAUAAUUUCUUGCAUCUAUCUUAUUUUUUUUUAUUUAUUGUAGAUUAUGAAACUGGUGCCAUAUUAUGGAGAGUUUGAUUCCAUACACUGAUGUGGAUCUGUUGGUGCAGAAUCCUUAAAUUGAAGAAGAUUAACAUUUCAUCAGACUCCAAGAGAUAACACAGCUAUUAAUACACGGAGUCUAUAUUUUUAAGUGCACACAGUCUAUUACAAACAUGAACACAAACAAACUGUUUUGCAUAAGUUGAUGCCCAUGGUGAAUGAGCUGCAAAGUUAGUACAAAUAACGUUAAGGUGAUGGAUAUCUUCAGUAAAAUUUAAGAAUACAUGAGAGGAAUGUGAGAAAUCAAUCCUUUAAUAAGAGAUUAGGAGUUAAUUGAAAAGUAAAAUUAAAUUGAACAAGGCAGAGCCUAGAGGUUAAAGAUACAAAAGAAGAAGGUGAGAAAUCACACUGUGAGCAAACAAAUAAAUACAAACAGAUUACAGAGGUAUCACCAGUCCUUUAACAACCCCAUCACAAUUGCAAAAAAAGCUGUUGGCCCACGACAUACUACUUUAUCGUUUACGUCCCUAUAAAACAGCCAUUCCAGGUUAUAACAGAGAAAUCAUAUUUAACAAAAAGUAAAGAACAAAAAGUAAAGAAACGGUUCACAAAUCUUCAGAUGUGCUUCACAACACCAUGGCCAUAUUGAGUUUGCACUCUUAAUUACACACUCAACCUUCAAGCAACAAAUAAAAUGCAGGUUCAGAACUGAGAUUGUGUUACUCAGUCAAUUUAAAUCACUUAACAUUCUUCAAGUUCUAUGUGUAUAUAGGCUGUGGUUCAAUGUUCGGAAAAGACUGAUUACAAGAAGCAUGAAACUCAUUGCUGGUCGAAAUCAAUUUUGAGUUGGAACACGGGGACAAUGAAAGGAAUGUAACUAGAAAAAUAAUUUGUCUUUCAUUCAAUUGGAGGAUCUCUAACGCAUUGUGUACAUUAGGUUUUCCUAUUUUCUGGUUCCCUAACUCGCAUUCUUUAGGCAAGAAGAUAUUGCAUAUAAGACUUUUGUUAUUUUCUUUCUCCCAUAGGCAAGAAGGAACUGUGUAUUAAAAGUUUAAGUCAGUGAUAAAUAUAAAGAGUUUAGGUCAGGUGGCUAUAUACAUUAGACAGUGGCUUGCGUUUCUUAUUUAUUCUUUCUCAUAUGCAGAAAGAAGCUACUUAUAAAGAGUAUAAAGAAGGUAAAAUGAUUAAAAAAUACAAUGUACUUUCACAAAUUUUUCACUUUAUACAAUGUACUAAAAUCACGCCAAAAAAUCAAUUUACUUUGAAAAAAAAUUCACGUUAUACAAUCUGUCUAAAAUUGACUAACGGACUGCUUACGUGACUAAUAAUUAUCUACAUGUAUUUAUUUUUUUUAAAGAAAUGCUGAGUUGUAAAAUUAAAAUCAACACAUCUACUUUAAAACGUGUCAUCAGAUCAUGUCAACAAAUGUUUACAUCUAAACCGUCCAUUAAUCCCAAGAUGUUAGAGAUAUAGAUGUAUUAUUUUUUUUAUUGUUAUCUCUAUGAUAGAAAAUAUCAAACAUAGGAACUAUGAAACCCUAAAUCAACAUUUCUUCCAUCUCUCUUUCUCAUUGCAACAUUGAACCCUAAAUCUUCUCUUUAAUUCUUCAAACCCUAAUUUUAAUUAACCAUUUUCUCACAACUAAAACCCCUACUUUCAAUCAAACACUAAUGUAUGGUGAAUUGGUGAAUCUCAAAAAGAAUCGGUGUGGAACAAUCUUGUUGUGUGUGUACAAGAAAAAUCUUCUUUCAAAUAAGUAGUAAGUAGUAGUUAGUUUAACACUAAAAGAUGAAGACACAAAAGCUAGGGUUUGAAAUUGAAUUGGAGAUUUGAAUUGAGGAUUUACAGAUUUGGGGAUUUUUACAAUUGUGAAUUCAAUUGUUAAAAUAGGGAAGAAGGGGGUCAAUAAUAUGAGAAACAUGUGCCUCAUUUGUUUAAUUUUUUUUUUAAAAAAAAUACACGUAGAUAAUUAUUGGCCACGUAAGCAAUCUGUUAGCUAAAGUUUUAAACAGAUUGUAUAACGUGAAUUUUUUUUCAAAGUAAAUUGUUAUUUUGACGUGAUUUUUAGUACAUUGUAUAAAGUGAAAAAAUUGUGAAAAAGUACGUUGUAUUUUUUGAUCAUUUUACCUCAAAAGAAUUUUAGCAAUUGUAACAUUAAAAGAGUUUAGACCAUGUGAUCCUAUAUACAUUACACCACUGAAUCGCUCCAUCCCCUUUUCUCGUCUAAUAUGUAUUAAAAUAUUAAAUUAUAAUGAGCUUUCAUUCAUACGCAGAAACAAAUUGCGUAAAUUAUAAACAUAAAAAAAAAAAUACACAACAACAACAUUCGCAUAGAUUAAAAUUAUAGAAAAACCAAAUUUUAGGUAUUAGAGAUUGUUUAGAAUAGGAUUUUCUGACAAUUUCAGAACGCUCUAUUCUCCUAUAUCCUUUCUAGCGCUAAUGUGUAUUCUAUCCCUCCUGCUCUGCACAACGCAUUAGUCUUAGAGAUGCUCUUAUUCUCAUUUUUUUUAAGUUGUCAUUCUAAUGUUACAUUCAAAUUCAGCAAAGAGGCACUAACAAGAGUUGCAUUUGUGUGAUUUUGUCAUUUAAGUGUACAAGCUAGCAAUUUGACAACUAGAGUUUUUCACAAUGGUUAAUGGUUAUCUAGAUGCCUGUCUAUGUAUACAACUGGCACAACCAACGCAACAUAAAACAAAGACAGAAAAAGAAAACAGUUGCAUACCGUUGAAAAGUGAUGUUGAAUUUAGCACUCCAUCUUCACCAUUGUACCUUAGUAGCCGAUUUGAAUGGGACAAGACUCGGAAUGUAAGACAUUACUUUAAGAGGCGCAUUUUUGAUUCCACGAAUCUUGAGCUUUCUAGUUGUUCUUUGUUUUGAAUCAUAAAGAACUAAAUGGAUGCUAUCAAAGAUUAAAAUCUUAUCACUAUUGAAGAAGUGCAAUGGUAUCACCCGCCUACCAAUUUCGUCAUUCUUGUUAAGAAUGGUGCAUGACCUCAAACGGCAUACCGAAGGAAAAAGUGUUUCAUCAAUGGCAAAUUGUUGAGUCCAUGAAUCCAUUAGACCAUAAUUGUUCAUUGCCCAAAUUUGAAUAUUACCAGUAGGGAAAUAACAUAACAUAGAAAGUUUUCCUCUCAGAAUCCCAACUCCGGUAAUACUAGCUCUUUCCCUAAACUGAUUAGGUGACAACAGGUGUUGAAAGCUUGUCCCCUUCAUGUCAAAAGAGACUAUAGUUUCAAUCUCAAGUCUAUCUUCAUGAACUGCUACCCAAUGAAGAGAUCCAUUAAGGUAAAUCCCAGGAAUAUCUCCAUUUAAAAUUCUGUAAGGGACACCAAAGGUACUCAGACAUGUAGCUUGUCCAUCAUUAUUCAGGGAGUAAACAUCAACUAGAGAAUCACAGUCAUCAUAAAUAGACAAACUGCGGCGAACAUUUACAAGUUUGUAUUCACCAACAACAGAAUCAUAAGCAAGGCCAAAAGCAGAACAAUCAUGAACAUAUAAGGAUUUUCCUACAUUAAAAAACUUGCACUCUCUAGUACAAGGAUUCAGUAGGCAUAACUUAGACGGUGGCAUACACAAGCAAAUAAACCCAUUACAAGUAGCCAAAACUUCGGUUUCAGAACCAAUUUCUUUAAAUGGAUUUAUGAUAUGUUCUGCAUCAACUUCCUCAUCAUCAAAAGAAGAAAAGGAAGAAGAAUAAAACUGUGUCCUUCGUUCAAUACUAUAAAUAGUUGAUAAGAAAUUGGGACAAUUUAUUUCCAUUGAUCGAUUCAAGUGGGUUUGAAUAAAAUUAGAAAAAGGAUCUGUCAUCAAAUCGCACCAAGGUUUGUAUACCAAACUGAAUUGUUCUCUGAGUGAUUUUGCUGGAAGCCUCGUUAGAAUCUCGAAGAUUAUAUCAUCAUGAAUAAUAGCAUCUGUUGUUGACAUUAUUGUUUUUUGAAUUGCGAGAUUCUCUUCUUCGAAUCGUGAACCAGUAUGUGUUGUUGACAUUUUUUUCUAAAUCAAUUCGUAUUUAGGGUUUCUGAGAAUUUUUAGAUUGAGAGAGCUAUCCGCCGCCACUCUUUCUCUCUAGCAGUAUCGGGUUUUAUAGAUCAAAAGAAUUGGGCCGUACGACCAAAUUCCAAUUUUCUUCUUUCAAGUUUCAACAACUCAUAAGCGUCCGUGAGCCCGUAACCAGAUCUACAGACAGAAACUUUGGCUAUGAACUCUAUAACGUACAGGAGCGAAAUAUU
rnacentral:lncRNA from 1 species